rnacentral:rRNA from 1 species
GUCUGACCGAGCAACGCCGCGUGAGUGAAGAAGGUUUUCGGAUCGUAAAACUCUGUUGUUAGAGAAGAACAAGGAUGAGAGUAACUGUUCAUCCCUUGACGGUAUCUAACCAGAAAGCCACGGCUAACUACGUGCCAGCAGCCGCGGUAAUACGUAGGUGGCAAGCGUUGUCCGGAUUUAUUGGGCGUAAAGCGAGCGCAGGCGGUUUCUUAAGUCUGAUGUGAAAGCCCCCGGCUCAACCGGGGAGGGUCAUUGGAAACUGGGAGACUUGAGUGCAGAAGAGGCGACGGGAAUUCCAUGUGUAGCGGUGAAAUGCGUAGAUAUAUGGAGGAACACCAGUGGCGAAGGCGGCUCUCUGGUCUGUAACUGACGCUGAGGCUCGAAAGCGUGGGGAGCAAACAGGAUUAGAUACCCUGGUAGUCCACGCCGUAAACGAUGAGUGCUAAGUGUUGGAGGGUUUCCGCCCUUCAGUGCUGCAGCUAACGCAUUAAGCACUCCGCCUGGGGAGUACGACCGCAAG